GGGCCGGUAGCUCAGUUGGUUAGAGCAACGGACUUUUAAUCCGUAGGUCGAGCGUUCGAAUCGCUCCCGGCUCA
rnacentral:tRNA from 1 species